ACGGGUGAGUAAUAUAUCGGAACGUGCCCAGUCGUGGGGGAUAACUACUCGAAAGAGUAGCUAAUACCGCAUACGACCUGAGGGUGAAAGCGGGGGAUCGCAAGACCUCGCGCGAUUGGAGCGGCCGAUAUCAGAUUAGGUAGUUGGUGGGGUAAAAGCCCACCAAGCCAACGAUCUGUAGCUGGUCUGAGAGGACGACCAGCCACACUGGGACUGAGACACGGCCCAGACUCCUACGGGAGGCAGCAGUGGGGAAUUUUGGACAAUGGGCGCAAGCCUGAUCCAGCCAUGCCGCGUGCGGGAAGAAGGCCUUCGGGUUGUAAACCGCUUUUGUCAGGGAAGAAAAGGUUCUGGUUAAUACCUGGGACUCAUGACGGUACCUGAAGAAUAAGCACCGGCUAACUACGUGCCAGCAGCCGCGGUAAUACGUAGGGUGCAAGCGUUAAUCGGAAUUACUGGGCGUAAAGCGUGCGCAGGCGGUUAUGCAAGACAGAGGUGAAAUCCCCGGGCUCAACCUGGGAACUGCCUUUGUGACUGCAUAGCUAGAGUACGGUAGAGGGGGAUGGAAUUCCGCGUGUAGCAGUGAAAUG
rnacentral:rRNA from 3 species